GUGAGUAACACGUGGGUAACCUGCCCAUCAGAGGGGGAUAACAUCCGGAAACGGAUGCUAAAACCGCAUAGGUCUUCGAGCCGCAUGGCUUGAAGAGGAAAAGAGGCGCAAGCUUCUGCUGAUGGAUGACCCGCGGUGCAUUAGCUAGUUGGUGAGGUAACGGCUCACCAAGGCCGUGAUGCAAUUAGCCGACCUGAGAGGGUGAUCGGCCACAUUGGGACUGAGACACGGCCCAAACUCCUACGGGAGGCAGCAGUAGGGAAUCUUCCGCAAUGGACGCAAGUCUGACGGAGCAACGCCGCGUGAGUGAAGAAGGUUUUCGGAUCGUAAAACUCUGUUGUUAGAGAAGAACAAGUGCUAGAGUAACUGUUAGCACCUUGACGGUAUCUAACCAAGAAAGCCACGGCUUAACUACGUGCCAGCAGCCGCGGUAAUACGUAGGUGGCAAGCGUUGUCCGGAUUUAUUGGGCGUAAAGCGAGCGCAGGCGGUUCCUUAAGUCUGAUGUGAAAGCCCCCGGCUCAACCGGGGAGGGUCAUUGGAAACUGGGGAACUUGAGUGCAGAAGAGGAGAGUGGAAUUCCAUGUGUAGCGGUGAAAUGCGUAGAUAUAUGGAGGACACCAGUGGCGAAGGCGACUCUCUGGUCUGUA
rnacentral:rRNA from 1 species